CAGUCGCCGCGGGAAUACGGAGGGCGCGAGCGUUACCCGGAUUUACUGGGCGUAAAGGGCGUGUAGGCGGCCUGGGGCGUCCCAUGUGAAAGGCAACGGCUCAACCGUGGAGGAGCGUGGGAUACGCUCAGGCUAGAGGGUGGGAGAGGGUGGUGGAAUUCCCGGAGUAGCGGUGAAAUGCGCAGAUACCGGGAGGAACGCCGAUGGCGAAGGCAGCCACCUGGUCCACUUCUGACGCUGAGGCGCGAAAGCGUGGGGAGCAAACCGGAUUAGAUACCCGCGUAGUCCCUGUCUCUUAUAC
rnacentral:rRNA from 1 species